GGCUUUGCAUUCCCACGCGGGGGGGCUUAUAUUUGACGUGUCGGGUAACCGACUAUGGCGAUAAACGUUUUUCGGAAUAAGCGUUUCGGACCCGGGGGCGGUACCCGGCGCCUCCACCAAUUCUUUCCGGCAGGCUUGGAGAUCCAAGGUGCUGGUCGGCAUGGGGGCGAAAUAGGAUCGACGAGCGUGGUAAAGGACUGACUUUCGCCCGGCAUAAUACCACCGUAUCGGGCUACUUUUAUAAAUGCUAACGAUAAUGAAGCAUUUGCGGUUGCCGCUUAACAGCUAAGCAACCACGGGGUUCGGGGGGCACCUUGCAACAGAAGCCCCCCACU
rnacentral:tmRNA from 1 species